GCUUUACUAUUGUUUUGGGCCUCAUGCCGAACAAACCAGUCGACUCAAAUCUUAGCUUCACGGCGUCACAGAAGUUUAGGGUUCGUCUUUGUUCUUCGUUCGAUCGCGACGUCUGACCGUUGUCCAUCACCGAAACAGUCCCCUUUACAGAUUCUUCAUGUUAAAUCCCUUAUUAAUUCAAUCUAACCACAACCUCCACUAAAACGCUGCUACCCAGCGAUGGAAACCUCCGCCGUUUUGACAUGCUCCUCUUCGAUGGCAACCUCAGCCAAAACAGCCUGUAAUGUGAAGAAAGGCGGCGAGCUCAUGGACGGUGUCAUGCUUCUCCUCGACUCCAAGGCGACACUCUUGGCAGCAAGUUCACCGUCUCACCACCUACAGACGUCACUUGAUGGUUCACUGGGUGUAAUCAGAAUUCUAGACUGUCAAUCUCUCCUCUAGUGAUUCAACCACUUUUGAUUAGUUAACCGAACCGUUUUCCCCAAUUCCAGAAGAACACUUCAGAUUCCGAAAUCACAGUCAGCUGCUUGGCCUAGCCAACACAAAUGCCCAGCUUCCAGACAUUAUCGCUGAGACUGUGACCAUAGCUGAACUAAACGAGUUUAUCCUCAUUGCCCAGCGUCAGGGUGUGGUUGAAUUUGUCUGCACCGGGCACUGGAUUUAACAUGGACAAAGGCUGGUGCUAUGUCUCUAACUCCAGAUGUACAAAGAAGUUUCAGCGGAUGGUCUCAUCCUUUACUUGCGCAACCUUCAAUAACACCACUCCAUUGGUGUCUUUCGGUAUGUUGGACCCUGCAACUACUUGAUCUUCUUAUUACAUUAGAAUGAGGUCCCAUAAACAUUAUAUCUUAUGUAUCGUGUGGAGAAGACUAUUGUUGGUGAGACUGCUGAAAGUCUAUUUGUUGGUUUUGAUGGAGAAAUGCACAAGUUACAUAACAUCCGAGCUUAUGAAGCUGUGCAUCUUUUGACUGGAGAGGGAGAGAAUCCAGAGCACACACAGCUACCCCUUUUAUUGCACAGAUGACUGGCAAGACUUACACCUUCCAGGCCAGAGAUGGUAACGAUGAUCAUGGCGAUGAUAUGCCUGGGAAUAUCUCAGGGCCUACUAAGGUGGACACUGAUGGUGACGACUGUGAGGAAGCACCGACUAUAGGAACUACUUCAACUGGUGUCGACACCAAUAAGCCUCCCGCAACAGCAACUUCCAAGGUUGCCAAAGACGGCACGCAUCGCAUACGCCAAGAUCAUUAAGUUUUUCUACGCACUAUUUUUUGUUUGAAUAAUGCUUUUGGCACCAAUUUUAUAGUAGUAAUAUUAUACACCACACAAAUAUUAUUAUAAAAUAGAUAAUAUAUAACAACAAAUUAUAUUCAUGUAUUGAUAAA